rnacentral:rRNA from 1 species
GUCGAGAGGCUUUGGCAAUGGGGGAAACCCUGACCAAGCGACGCCGCGUGGGGGAUGAAGGCCCUUGGGUUGUAAACCCCUUUUGUUCGGGAAGAAGUGCGAUCAGGUGAACAAUCUGGUCGUUUGACGGUACCGGACGAAUAAGCUCCGGCUAACUCCGUGCCAGCAGCCGCGGUAACACGGGGGGAGCAAGCGUUGUUCGGAAUCACUGGGCGUAAAGGGCGUGUAGGCGGUUCGGUAAGUGAGAUGUGAAAUGCCCCGGCUCACCCGGGGACCUGCAUCUCAAACUGCCGGACUAGAGUAUGGGAGAGGAUGAGGGAAUUCCUGGUGUAGCGGUGAAAUGCGUAGAUAUCAGGAGGAACACCGGUGGCGAAAGCGCUCAUCUGGCCCAAUACUGACGCUGAGGCGCGAAAGCUAGGGGAGCAAACGGGAUUAGAAACCCUUGUAGUCC